CAUGUCGCAACGAGCUUUGAUAUCGCUAGGAAGCCGUGAAAAUUACUCGUUUGACGGUGUCCCAAGAAUGGCAACGCUGUUGACAAAACAUUUAAAUCUACAAAUUAUUCAUCCCUUUUGUCUCGCAUGACGUGUUUCUUUGUCUUGCAAGCGCGUCGUCGAGCUGGCCGCGUCGUGAAUCGUAAACUCUCUAUUGAAAGAUUUGGAAGCCGUAAUUCGACAUCAGGAGGAAUUAAUUCAG
rnacentral:lncRNA from 1 species